AUUGAACGCUGGCGGCAGGCCUAACACAUGCAAGUCGAACGAGUGGCGGACGGGUGAGUAAUGUCUGGGAAACUGCCUGAUGGAGGGGGAUAACUACUGGAACCGGUGGCUAAUACCGCAUACCAUCAGAUGUGCCCAGAUGGGAGUAGCUAGUUGGUGGGGUAACGGCUAACCAAGGCGACGAUCCCUCGCCGGUCUGAGAGGAUGACCGUCCACAUUGGAACUGAGACACGGUCCAGACCCCUACGGGAGGCAGCAGUGGGGAAUAUUGCACAAUGGGCGCAAGCCUGACGGAGCAAUGCCGCGUGAAUGAAGAAGGGCUUCGGGUUGUAAAGUACUUUAGGCGGGGAGGCGGUACCCGAAGAAGAAGCACCGGCUAACUACGUGCCAGCAGCCGCGGUAAUAC
rnacentral:rRNA from 1 species